UUUAUUCAGUAACUGGGGUAUGUGUGUGAGAUUUCUUCGUUUUCUAACGAUGGUGCAGUUGUAAUGCAAAUUCAGCCUGACCAGAGUUAAUGGAUAAGAAGCCUGAGGGGAGAGGUUCCCUGGACUUGGUUCUGUGAUCAGAUCCGCCCAGACCUUGAGAUUGAUUGAUUUCAGAGUUCAAGACCUACUUGUUCACUUCAGGGAUGGAUAGCCUGGAUGUAGCAAUGAUCUGCAAUAAAGCAAAGAACACUGUAUUGGAGCAAAAGGCAAGCUAAUAUUCGAGCAGCUCAUAGAUGGCACAUUUGUGUUUGGUACGGUGCCGAGCUUCGGGUUUUAUCAUCUUGACAGAAAACAGUCAAAUGAAUGUGUCUGUUUUUCAUUGAAAUCGACAUCAAAAAUGAAGAAUGGGGCUUGGACUUCACAGAAUCACAGUAUUUCACCGGCACAGAAGAAGGUCGUUUGGUCCAUCGUGUCUGCACCAGCUCUCCAAAUGAGCAUUAUGACCUAGUGCCAUUGCCCUGUCUUUGCCCCGUACCCCUGCACAUUGCUUCUAUUCAAAUAAUCAUCUAAUGCCUACUUGAAAGCCUCAAUUAAACCCGCCUCCACCACACUUCCAGGCAGUGCAUUUCACACCUGAAUCACUCGUUGUGUGAAAAAGUUUUUUCCUCACGUCCCACUUGCUCCUGUUGCAAAUCACUUUCAAUCUGUGCCCUCUCGUUCUUGAUCCUUUUACGAGCAGGAGCAGCUUCUCCCUAUCUACUCUAUCCAGCCCCCUCAUGAUUUUGAACAUCUGUAUCAAAUCUCCUC